rnacentral:lncRNA from 10 species
CGAGAGAGCAAGGAUGAUCCAUAGCUCCCUGCCCUUUCAUUCAGCCUCAUCAUAAGCCAAAGGUGCGGAAGACCUACUUAAAACCUGAGAGUCUCGAAUAGGAGAGGCGCUUUCAGAUCAGCCCGAGUCUUCUGCAGCGCACAGGAGCUAGUCGUACUGAAAAGAAUGAAGUUGGACUUGUCCAGGCGAGUUUCGGACAGUGCUGGGCUGGUAAGAAACGGAGUUACCAUUCAUCUAUUCAUUCCCAG